AUAAUCUUCAACUCUGAAGGAACAUCCGAAACAUCUACAACAAAGAAACUAACCUUUCCAAUAAGAAUGCAAUAAUCUGUCCAAGUUUUGUUUGUAGAUUGAUUCCACACCUGUUUGUUUAACAAUGAAAGCAGUCAGAAUAGGUGUUGUCUCUGGAUUACAACCAUCUACUGUUAGAGUUAUUGAUUACUAUGAACCAAGUAACCAAGUAACAGCCUUCUAUCAGUCUCAGAUCCUUGAGGCCUCGAUUAUCUGUGAUGUCUGUAAAGAAUGUGACAACUGUUUUUAACCUCCAGUUACUUCAGCCAGUGUUGUUCAUGAUGAAAUGACCUAUAUAAUAGAGAAAUACUUCCAUUGUAAAAUAUCAGUUACUUUGUGCGUUAAAGAAGAAGAAGAGUGCAAGCCAAAGGAGAAAGAAAUAAAGUGUUUUGAAACCAGAA
rnacentral:sRNA from 1 species